GAAGGAGCAGGGGUGAUGCAUAGCUGUGGAGGAAAGGGCAGCAGGCCGGCUGGAAGAGGCAGGCAGCCUGGAAGUUGGCCUGGCGAUGGCCAGGAGGAGACCUACUUAGGGUUCCCCAUCACCCCAGCCCUCUGAGGACAGCAAGCAGUUAAGAGGCAGGCCCAUGAGAAACUGGGGUCCUCGGCUACUGAUGAAGGGGCAUAGUCCCUGGGAAUCAGCUGAGACUUAAAUGAUACCCAAAUGUCCCCCUGUCUCUGAGGUCCAGAAACUGAGAUGACGGAGGCCAGGAUUCCAGGAAGGGGACACAUGAGGACAGGCUUCCUGGUUUCCAGUGGGGAGAGGCCAUGAGGCCAUCCCCCUCAGCAGGAAUCUCCAAGUUGAGGAAAACAAUUUCGUGCCAUUCAGUUUAAAAUAGGAAAUUGGGAGGGAGAGGCAGAUACAGGGAAGAGAAAAUAAAUGAAGUCACCCCCCCCACCCUGAAAAGAAGAAAAGGAGCGUACAUCCCCCCCCACCCAAGGAGGAAAAGGUCCGGUCCACACAGCGAAGGUUCACAGUGUCCAUCUGUGGAAGAGACCUUGUGGCUGUCCCGUGUCGCUGCACGUAAGCGCCUUAUAACCUACCGCGCUUGUCCCCCGAUGCCUGCCCCCCUUUCUGGCCUCAGUCUGUCUUUAACGGGUUUUGAGACCCUACAAGCUUUCCUUCCCUCUCCCUCCUCCCUGUGCUUCCUCCUCUGCUAAAAGUCCGGGACACGGGGGUGGGGAACAUCAGAGACCCUCGGCCAGGCCCAGACUCUCAGCCCUGCCCUGGGAGGAGGGGGAGCAGUGAGAGGCGAGGGGCCAAGG
rnacentral:lncRNA from 1 species